AAACUGAAAAAGGGUAGAUUGAGAUCAGAUAUAAGGAACAAAUUCUUCCCUGUGAGGGUGGUGAGGCCCUGGCACAGGUUGCCCAGAGAAGCUGUGGCUGCCCCCUUCCUGGCAGUGCUCAAGGCCAGGUUGGAC